AUGGGCGCAAGCCUGAUGCAGCGACGCCGCGUGAGGGAUGGAGGCCUUCGGGUUGUAAACCUCUUUCGCCAGUGAAGCAGGCCUGUCCCUUUUGUGGGUGGGUUGACGGUAGCUGGAUAAGAAGCGCCGGCUAACUACGUGCCAGCAGCCGCGGUAAUACGUAGGGCGCGAGCGUUGUCCGGAAUUAUUGGGCGUAAAGAGCUCGUAGGCGGCUGGUCGCGUCUGUCGUGAAAUCCUCUGGCUUAACUGGGGGCUUGCGGUGGGUACGGGCCGGCUUGAGUGCGGUAGGGGAGACUGGAGCUCCUGGUGUAGCGGUGGAAUGCGCAGAUAUCAGGAAGAACACCGGUGGCGAAGGCGGGUCUCUGGGCCGUUACUGACGCUGAGGAGCGAAAGCGUGGGGAGCGAACAGGAUUAGAUACCCUGGUAGUCCACGCCGUAAACGUUGGGCACUAGGUGUGGGGGGCCUUUUCCGGGUCUUCCGCGCCGUAGCGAACGCAUUAAGUGCCCCGCCUGGGGAGUACGGCCGCAAGGCUAAAACUCAAAGGAAUUGACGGGGGCCCGCACAAGCGGCGGAGCAUG
rnacentral:rRNA from 1 species